rnacentral:rRNA from 1 species
CAGUGGGGAAUAUUGGACAAUGGGCGCAAGCCUGAUCCAGCCAUGCCGCGUGUGUGAAGAAGGCCUUCGGGUUGUAAAGCACUUUUGUUCGGGAAGAAAAGCUACCGGUUAAUACCCGGGAGUCAUGACGGUACCGAAAGAAUAAGCACCGGCUAACUUCGUGCCAGCAGCCGCGGUAAUACGAAGGGUGCAAGCGUUACUCGGAAUUACUGGGCGUAAAGCGUGCGUAGGUGGUGCGUUAAGUCUGUCGUGAAAGCCCCGGGCUCAACCUGGGAAUGGCGAUGGAUACUGGCGCGCUAGAGUGCGGUAGAGGAGAGUGGAAUUCCCGGUGUAGCAGUGAAAUGCGUAGAGAUCGGGAGGAACAUCAGUUGCGAAGGCGGCUCUCUGGACCAACACUGACACUGAGGCACGAAAGCGUGGGGAGCAAACAGGAUUAGAUACCCUGGUAGUCCACGCCCUAAACGAUGCGAACUGGACGUUGGGAGCAACUAGGCUCUCAGUGUCGAAGCUAACGCGUUAAGUUCGCCGCCU